rnacentral:rRNA from 1 species
CGUAGGGUCCGAGCGUUGUCCGGAAUUAUUGGGCGUAAGGGCUCGUAGGCGGUUCGUCACGUCGGGGAGUGAAAACUCGGAGCUUAACUCCGAGCCUGCUUCCGAUACGGGCAGACUAGAGGUAGGCAGGGGAGAGCGGAACUCCUGGUGUAGCGGUGGAAUGCGCAGAUAUCAGGAAGAACACCGGUGGCGAAGGCAGCACUCUGGGCCGGCACUGACGCUGAGGAGCGAAAGCGUGGGGAGCGAACAGG